rnacentral:rRNA from 1 species
UACAGAGACUGCGAGCGUUAUUCGGAUUCACUGGGCGUAAAGGGCGCGUAGGCGGCCUGUUAAGUCGAACGUGAAAUCCCCGGGCUCAACCCGGGAACUGCGUCCGAUACUGGCAGGCUUGAAUCCGGGAGAGGGAUGCGGAAUUCCGGGUGGAGUGGUGAAAGUGCGUAGAGAUCCGGAGGAACACCAAAGGCGAAGGCAGUGUCCUGGGAGUACCGUGACGCUCAGGUGCGAAGCCAGGGA